CGGCUUCACUACGGGCGCUGCAUCGAGCUGAGAGCUUCCGCGACAUUCACCCUUUGCUUUCUCCCUGGUCGGAGACAGAGCAGAGAGGAUGUUGCGGACUCCGGCAACGAUAAAGCUGAGAAGUACCGUUUAAACUCGAUCAAGAUAAUACUUGCGUGAGGAAUGUGCUGCCGCUGAUUA
rnacentral:ncRNA from 1 species